rnacentral:rRNA from 1 species
AGUGAACGCUGGCGGUAGGCCUAACACAUGCAAGUCGAACGGCAGCACAGUAAGAGCUUGCUCUUACGGGUGGCGAGUGGCGGACGGGUGAGGAAUACAUCGGAAUCUACUUUUUCGUGGGGGAUAACGUAGGGAAACUUACGCUAAUACCGCAUACGACCUACGGGUGAAAGCAGGGGAUCUUCGGACCUUGCGCGAUUGACUGAGCCGAUGUCGGAUUAGCUAGUUGGCGGGGUAAAGGCCCACCAAGGCGACGAUCCGUAGCUGGUCUGAGAGGAUGAUCAGCCACACUGGAACUGAGACAAGGUCCAGACUCCUACGGGAGGCAGCAGUGGGGAAUAUUGGACAAUGGGCGCAAGCCUGAUCCAGCCAUACCGCGUGGGUGAAGAAGGCCUUCGGGUUGUAAAGCCCUUUUGUUGGGAAAGAAAAGCAGCAGGUUAAUACCCCGCUGUUCUGACGGUACCCAAAGAAUAAGCACCGGCUAACUUCGUG